rnacentral:miRNA from 1 species
GGUUUCUCUGUGUAGCCCUGGCUGUCCUGGAACUCACUUUGUAGACCAGGCUGGAUUUGAACUCACAAGAGAUCCACCUGCCUCUGCCUCCCGAGUGCUGGGACUAAAGGCAUGUGCCACCAACGCCUG